AGCGGCGGACGGGUGAGUAAUGCCUGGGAAUAUGCCCUGAUGUGGGGGAUAACUAUUGGAAACGAUAGCUAAUACCGCAUAAUCUCUUCGGAGCAAAGAGGGGGACCUUCGGGCCUCUCGCGUCAGGAUUAGCCCAGGUGGGAUUAGCUUGUUGGUGAGGUAAUGACUCACCAGGGCAACGAUCCCUAGCUGGUCUGAGAGGAUGAUCAGCCACACUGGAACUGAGACACGGUCCAGACUCCUACGGGAGGCAGCAGUGGGGAAUAUUGCACAAUGGGGGAAACCCUGAUGCAGCCAUGCCGCGUGUGUGAAGAAGGCCUUCGGGUUGUAAAGCACUUUCAGUCGGGAGGAAGGUAGUGUAGUUAACACCUGCAUUAUUUGACGUUACCUACAGAAGAAGCACCGGCUAACUCCGUGCCAGCAGCCGCGGUAAUACGGAGGGUGCGAGCGUUAAUCGGAAUUACUGGGCGCGAAGCGCAUGCAGGCGGCCUGUUAAGUCAGAUGUGAAAGCCCGGGGCUUAACCUCGGAAUUGCAUUUGAAACUGGCAGG
rnacentral:rRNA from 1 species